UUACACAGGCCUUGUGUUUCCUGUGAGUAUGGUAAGAAAUAAGAAAUUAGCUAUUUGUAUUUUCUGCCUAAAAUCUGUGGUAGCAGGCAGCAUCAAACCAAACAAGUUAAAAUGGCACCUGGGAAUCUAUCGACGAGCACCUGGACUUUUUUCAACAAAACCUCACUUUUUGAAGUUCAGGGAUUUUAGAGAAGAUUGGAGCUGACAGCCUUGUCUGUUUGUCUUGCCACACGCUGUCUGCUCAGCAGGAGAUGCAGAGAGGACACCUCGUCACCCUUUAGCUGCCAUAAUUUCUCUUGCUGCUUGUUGUGAUUGAAUAACUGACUGGAUGGAUUUGCAAGUGCCAGGUAAAUACAGGAUGGAUGAUGAGAAUCUUCUGCAGACCUUUCAAGAUAAAACUGUAGCUCAAAAUAUUUGCUCAAAGACCAAAGUUGGUGUUUGUGGUAUAUCAGGUUUGUUCCAAAAACCAGGCAGAAGGAUGUCAGCAGCAAAGACCUCCAGAAAGAUUUUAAUUGGAUGACGUCACUUAAACAACAAUUAAUAAUGCCAAGUGAGAAUCAGAAAUGGUGGAGGAACAAAACACAAAACUACAGCUCUUUCUGAAGUUUUGGAAAUUAUUAUUGUUUUUUUAUUUAUUUUUUUGCAAAUGGAAACUUUACAAAAGAGGGAGUUGCAGAUUUUAUCUUUGAGGUCUGUGACCUUCAAAGAAACCAGAUUCCUUUACAUCAAACAUUCUGUCAUCUUUAUAAAGAAAACAAAUUGAUUCUGCUGUUUUUGCACAAGGGAAGAAACACUUUCAACAGUUUUGUCGUCAUCUGAAGUGGAUGAAUGCGGGACAAAAAGAAAAAAUCCUUUCUGAGGAUAUUUUUGUCAGCAUAACUGGAAGAACACAUUCACAAUGAAUCACAUGAGUCGGAUGACUUAAUACCAGAUCUAGCUGACUUUGGGGAGUCAUCUGACACUGACAUUACUGAACAGGUUUGUUUCAAUACAUAUUUGGAGAAGAGGAAAAC